rnacentral:rRNA from 1 species
UACGGGGGGGGCAAGCGUUGUUCGGAAUUACUGGGCGUAAAGGGCGCGUAGGCGGUUGGAUAAGUCAGCUGUGAAAACCACGGGCUUAACUCGUGGCCUGCAGUUGAGACUGUCUGGCUUGAGUGUGGGAGAGGAGAGUGGAAUUCCUGGUGUAGCGGUGAAAUGCGUAGAUAUCAGGAGGAACACCGGUGGCGAAGGCGGCUCUCUGGACCACAACUGACGCUGAGGAGCGAAAGCGUGGGGAGCGAACAGG